GAGCUCAAAUUUAUAAUCUGGCACCUUCGGUGUCCGAGUUGUAAUCUCUAGAAAUGUUUUCCGCGUUGGACCGCACACAAGUCUGUUGGAAUACAGCGGCAUAGUGGUGAGACCCCCGUAUAUGGUGCGGACGCCCAGCGCUUUGUGAUACAUUUUCGAAGAGUCGAGUUGUUUGGGAAUGCAGCUCAAAUUGGGUGGUAAAUUCCAUCUAAAGCUAAAUAUUGGCGAGAGACCGAUAGCGAACAAGUACCGUGAGGGAAAGAUGAAAAGCACUUUGGAAAGAGAGUUAACAGUACGUGAAAUUGUUGGAAGGGAAACGCUUGAAGUCAGACUUGCUUGCCGAGCAAUCGGUUUGCAGGCCAGCAUCAGUUUUCCGGGAUGGAUAAUGGUAGAGAGAAGGUAGCAGUUUCGGCUGUGUUAUAGCUCUCUGCUGGAUACAUCUUGGGGGACUGAGGAACGCAGUGUGCCUUUUGGCGGGGGUUUCGACCUCUUCACACUUAGGAUGCUGGUGGAAUGGCUUUAAACGACCCGUCUUGAAACACGGACCAAGGAGUCUAACAUGCUUGCGAGUAUUUGGGUGUCAAACCCGGAUGCGUAAUGAAAGUGAAUGGAGGUGGGAACCGCAAGGUGCACCAUCGACCGAUCUGGAUUUUUAAUGAUGGAUUUGAGUAAGAGCACGUAUGUUGGGACCCGAAAGAUGGUGAACUAUGCCUGAAUAGGGCGAAGCCAGAGGAAACUCUGGUGGAGGCUCGUAGCGG
rnacentral:rRNA from 1 species